GUGCUUGCUUCAACAGUACAUAUACUAAUGUUGGAACAGUACAGAGAAGAUUAGCAUGGCUCCUGGGCAAGAAUUACACACAAAUUCAUGAAGUGUUCCAUAUUAAA
ensembl:snRNA U6 U6 spliceosomal RNA